GACGAACGCUGGCGGCGUGCUUAACACAUGCAAGUCGAACGGAAAGGCCCAGCUUGCUGGGUGCUCGAGUGGCGAACGGGUGAGUAACACGUGGGUGAUCUGCCUCUAACUUCGGGAUAAGCUUGGGAAACUGGGACUAAUACCGGAUAGGACAAUCGUUUAGUGUCGGUUGUGGAAAGUUUUUUCGGUUAGGGAUGAGCCCGCGGCCUAUCAGCUUGUUGGUGGGGUAAUGGCCUACCAAGGCGUCGACGGGUAGCCGGCCUGAGAGGGUGGACGGCCACAUUGGGCCUGAGAUACGGCCCAGACUCCUACGGGAGGCAGCAGCGGGGAAUAUUGCACAAUGGGCGCAAGCCUGAUGCAGCGACGCCGCGUGGGGGAUGACGGCCUUCGGGUUGUAAACCUCUUUCGACAGGGACGAAGCUUUGGUGACGGUACCUGUAUAAGAAGCACCGGCUAACUACGUG
rnacentral:rRNA from 1 species